rnacentral:rRNA from 1 species
GACGUAGGAUGCGAGCGUUGUCCGGAUUCAUUGGGCGUAAAGAGCACGCAGGCGGUUUGGCAAGUCGGAUGUGAAAACCCGGAGCUCAACUCCGGACCUGCAUCCGAAACUGCCCGACUAGAGGUAGGUAGGGGAGAUCGGAAUUCCUGGUGUAGCGGUGAAAUGCGCAGAUAUCAGGAGGAACACCGGUGGCGAAGGCGGAUCUCUGGGCCUUACCUGACGCUGAGGAGCGAAAGUGUGGGGAGCGAACAGG